CCAAGGCGAUGACGGGUAGCCGGUCUGAGAGGAUGUCCGGCCACACUGGAACUGAGACACGGUCCAGACACCUACGGGUGGCAGCAGUCGAGAAUCAUUCACAAUGGGGGAAACCCUGAUGGUGCGACGCCGCGUGGGGGAAUGAAGGUCUUCGGAUUGUAAACCCCUGUCAUGUGGGAGCAAAUUAAAAAGAUAGUACCACAAGAGGAAGAGACGGCUAACUCUGUGCCAGCAGCCGCGGUAAUACAGAGGUCUCAAGCGUUGUUCGGAAUCACUGGGCGUAAACCGUGCGUAGGCUGUUUCGUAAGUCGUGUGUGAAAGGCGCGGGCUCAACCCGCGGACGGCACAUGAUACUGCGAGACUAGAGUAAUGGAGGGGGAACCGGAAUUCUCGGUGUAGCAGUGAAAUGCGUAGAUAUCGAGAGGAACACUCGUGGCGAAGGCGGGUUCCUGGACAUUAACUGACGCUGAGGCACGAAGGCCAGGGGAGCGAAAGGGAUUAGAUACCCCUGUAGUCCUGGCAGUAAACGGUGCACGCUUGGUGUGCGGGGAAUCGACCCCCUGCGUGCCGGAGCUAACGCGUUAAGCGUGCCGCCUGGGGAGUACGGUCGCAAGAUUAAAACUCAAAGAAAUUGACGGGGACCCGCACAAGCGGUGGAGUAUGUGGCUUAAUUCGAUGCAACGCGAAGAACCUUACCUGGGCUUGACAUGUAAUGAACAACAUGUGAAAGCAUGCGACUCUUCGGAGGCGUUACACAGGUGCUGCAUGGCCGUCGUCGGCUCGUGUCGUGAGAUGUUUGGUUAAGUCCAGCAACGAGCGCAACCCCUGUUGCCAGUUACCAGCACGUGAAGGUGGGGACUCUGGCGAGACUGCCAAGAUCAACUGGGAGGAAGGUGGGGACGACGUCAGGUCAGUAUGGCCCUUAUGCCCAGGGCUGCACACGUACUACAAUGCCCAGUACAGAGGGGGCCGAAGCCGCGAGGCGGAGGAAAUCCUAGAAACUGGGCCCAGUUCGGACUGUAGGCUGCAACCCGCCUACACGAAGCCGGAAUCGCUAGUAAUGGCGCAUCAGCUACGGCGCCGUGAAUACAUUCCCGGGUCUUGCACACACCGCCCGUCA
rnacentral:rRNA from 1 species